rnacentral:rRNA from 1 species
ACUAUUGGAAGUUAACCUCAGAAGAAGAAUAUCUUGAUCAGAAACUGACAGUCUAUUUGUGAUAAGGUAAAUAGACAAAAGGGAAACAGCCCAGAUCAUAAAUUAAGGUCCCUAAUAAAUAUUUAGUGAACAUAAGAAGGUCUUUUAUCUAAUACAACUACAAAGUAAGCUUGGAAGUAGCUAUCUUUUAAUGAAAGUGUAACAACUCAAUAGUCUAAUGGAUAAAAGGCAUCGAAGAUUAACGGGUCUGAAAUAUUUAACCUACAUUAUGGUAUAUAUACAUUUUUAUUUUUCAUAUAGAAAUGUAUAUGUAGGUAGCAGAACACUUAGUAUGAGAGUGAAGAAGUGUAUAAAUACAUUUUGGACUAUACUAAAGAGAGAAUGCUGGCAUGAGUAACGAUUAAGAAGUUAAAAUACUUCUCGCCGAACACGAAAGGGUUUUAUGGAAAAGGUAAUCUGCCAUAAUUUAUACGGUUUCUAAGGAAAAUAAACGAAUUGUUAUUUUCUGAUGAAGAAUAGAAAUCAUAGAGAAAGAAUCUUUCUUCUAGAAAAAGAUUUCUACUAUUGAUAGUAACCGUACCUGAAACCGACACAGGUUCGUGGGUAGAGUAUACUAAGGCGUAGAGAUAAGGCUAGUGAAGGAACUCGGCAAAAUGCUUCUGUAAGUUCGACGAUAAAGAAGAAGUUAUAAUUUAGAAUCAUUUUAUGAUUCUUUUAUAACUUGUCACAAAAGUGAGGGCUUCGACUGUUUACUAAAAACAUAGCAACUUGCUAAGACGAAAAGUACUUGUAUAAGUUGUGAACUCUGUCCAAUGCCAUUUGUUUAAGGAAGGGAAUCUUCUUCCGGGAAGUGUUCCUGACUGAUGCGGUGGUGAAUGACGGUCUUAACUAUAAGGAUCUGAAAGUAGCGAAAUUCCUUGGCCAUUAAAUGUGGUCCUGCAUGAAUGAGGUAACGCGGCCCUGCUGUCUCCACUAGCUUCUCAGUGAAAUUGAAUUAGCCGUGCAGAUGCGGUUUGCCUUCCGGAGGACGCGAAGACCCUAUGCAGCUUUACUGUAUUCUGAUAUUGUUAUUCGUGAUAUAUAGUGUAGAAUACAAGGGAGUGUAACAUCCGUGAAAUACCUUGAUAUAUUGAAUGGAAUAACUUAUUUUUUCUAAAAAGACAGUAUCAGAUGGUCAGUUUUACUGGGGCGGUAGCCUCUAAGAAAGUAUCAGAGGCCUUCAAAGGUAUACUUACAUUGGUCAGAAACCAAUAGAUAAUUGUAUCUAUCAAAAUGUAAUGAUAAAAGUAUGCUUUACUGAAAGAUUGAUAGAUCGAUCAGUUACGCAAGUAGGAUAUAGUGAUCCGAUGAUUCAGAAUGGAAUGAUCAUCGCUCAAGAAAUAAAAGUUACGCUAGGGAUAACAGGUUUAUCGUCUGCAAGAGUUCAUAUUGUCCAGACGGUUUGACACCUCGAUGUCGACUCUUCUCAUCCUCCAGGUGUAGUAGCUUGGAAGGGUUCAGCUGUUCGCUGAGUAAAGAGGAACGUGAGUUGGGUUUAAUACGACGUGAGUCAGUAUAGAUUCUAUCCUCGGAAGGGAACAAGAAUAGAAGAAGAACCUCUAAUUUGUACGAAAGGACCGUUAGAGAGAAUUCCAUGGUGUAUCUAUUGUUGUAGAAAUAUGGCACAGUAGAGUAGCUACAAUUCUAAAAGAUAAAUACUGAAAGCAUAUCAAGUGUGAAACAGAUCUUCUGAUAUUCUCAAAUAAGAAAAAGACUAUUUCUAGUCUAGGAUGUGAAUGUAUGUUAAACAUUUCUAAUGUAUUGAUCAAACUUAAUUGUACCAUAUUGUUCACCUAUUUUUC